UGCGCGCGCGGGGUUGCUUCCCUCACCAGGAGUUGGGCAUCGUCUCCCUCGUCGUCUUCUUCGUCCUCGGCGUCGCUCUCCUCGCCCUCUGCGUCCAGUGUCACAGGAACAGUGCCGACGCCUACGACGUGAACAUGGGCACAAUGUCUAAAGGAGCGAAGACACCCAAGAAGACCCCCACUGCCAAGACAGGAGGAGCCGCGGUUCCAGACCCGGGGGUGGCAACCGACACAACAUGGAGGAACUACAAGAACAUGCCUCCCAGCACUUUAGAGAGAGA